rnacentral:rRNA from 1 species
AUACGUAGGGUGCAAGCGUUAAUCGGAAUUACUGGGCGUAAAGCGUGCGCAGGCGGUUUUGCAAGACAGUGGUGCAAUCCCCCGGCUGAACCUGGGAACUGCAAUUGUGACUGCAAGGCUGGAGUGCGGCAGAGGGGGAUGGAAAUCCGCGUGUAGGAGUGACACGAGUAGAUCUGCGGAGGAACACCGAUGGCGAAGGCAAUCCCCUGGGCCUGUACUGACGCUCAUGCACGAAAGCGUGGGGAGCAAACAGGAUUAGAUACCCUGGUAGUCCACGCCCUAAACGAUGUCAACUGGUUGUUGGGUCUUCAUUGACUCAGUAACGAAGCUAACGCGUGAAGUUGACCGCCUGGGGAGUACGGCCGCAAGGUUGAAACUCAAAUGAAUUGACGGGG